GAUGAAGAACGCAGCGAAAUGCGAUAAGUAAUGUGAAUUGCAGAAUUCAGUGAAUCAUCGAAUCUUUGAACGCACAUUGCGCCCGCCAGUAUUCUGGCGGGCAUGCCUGUUCGAGCGUCAUUUCAACCAUCAAGCCCCCGGCUUGUGUUGGGGACCUGCGGCUGCCGCAGGCCCUGAAAACCAGUGGCGGGCUCGCUAGUCACUCCGAGCGUAGUAGUUACAUCUCGCUCAGGGCGUGCUGCGGGUUCCGGCCGUUAACAGCCUUAUUUACCCAAGGUUGACCUCGGAUCAGGUAGGAAGACCCGCUGAACUUAAGCAUAUCAAUAAGCGGAGGA
rnacentral:misc_RNA from 1 species